rnacentral:rRNA from 1 species
CAGUCGCCGCGGGAAUACGUAGGUGGCAAGCGUUGCCCGGAAUUAUUGGGCGUAAAGGGCUCGCAGGCGGUUUCUUAAGUCUGAUGUGAAAGCCCCCGGCUCAACCGGGGAGGGUCAUUGGAAACUGGGAAACUUGAGUGCAGAAGAGGAGAGUGGAAUUCCACGUGUAGCGGUGAAAUGCGUAGAGAUGUGGAGGAACACCAGUGGCGAAGGCGACUCUCUGGUCUGUAACUGACGCUGAGGAGCGAAAGCGUGGGGAGCGAACAGGAUUAGAUACCCGCGUAGUCCCUGUCUCUUAUAC